rnacentral:rRNA from 1 species
CUUAAGCUUAGUUGCCAUCAUUAAGUUGGGCACUCUAAGUUGACNGCCGGUGACAAACCGGAGGAAGGUGGGGAUGACGUCAAAUCAUCAUGCCCCUUAUGAUUUGGGCUACACACGUGCUACAAUGGACAAUACAAAGGGYAGCGAAACCGCGAGGUCAAGCAAAUCCCAUAAAGUUGUUCUCAGUUCGGAUUGUAGUCUGCAACUCGACUAUAUGAAGCUGGAAUCGCUAGUAAUCGUAGAUCAGCAUGCUACGGUGAAUACGUUCCCGGGUCUUGUACACACCGCCCGUCACACCACGAGAGUUUGUAACACCCGAAGCCGGUGGAGUAACCAUUUGGAGCUAGCCGUCGAAGGUGGGACAAAUGAUUGGGGUGANGUCGUAACAAGGUAGCCG